rnacentral:rRNA from 1 species
AGAUUGAACGCUGGCGGCAGGCCUAACACAUGCAAGUCGAGCGGCAGCACGGGUACUUGUACCUGGUGGCGAGCGGCGGACGGGUGAGUAAUGCCUAGGAAUCUGCCUGAUAGGUGGGGGAUAACGGUUCGGAAACGGACGCUAAUACCGACAUACGUCCUACGGGAGAAAGGUGGGGGAUCUUCGGACCUCACGCUAUCAGAUGAGCCUAGGUCGAUUAGCUAGUUGGUAGGGUAAACGGCCUACCAAGGCUACGAUCCGUAACUGGUCUGAGAGGAUGAUCAGUCACACGUAGGAACUGAGACACGGUCCAGUACCU